UCGGGUAUGGUGUAGCGGUAACAUCGUUGACUCUCACUUCUUAGGAGUGACUGCUCUCUCUCAACAGCCCCGGGUUCGACUCCCGGUAUCCGAG
rnacentral:tRNA from 1 species